GUUCUCUCUCUCGUAAAAAAAAAAACUCUCUCUCUCUCUCUCGUUAUCGCAACUGCGAAAAAAAAACUGAUGAACAAACCUCAGAAACAUCGCGAUUUCCUGAGAUUCCGAUGAGUCGACGCCGGAAUCGUGGUUUGUGAGACUUACCUGCCGCCGGGAUCAUCAGCUGGAUUCACGGUAAAGACCAUCGGCGAAUGGAGUCAAAACAAAUCGAAGAUUGGCGAUGGAGAAGAAGGAUUCGUUGAAGGAUGGUCCAAUUUCUUGUUCCAGGAUUUUUGUUACCAAUGUUGAGAUGGAUCUUUGUGGAGAUAGCUUGAUGCACCUACAGCUAGUAUCCCAUUGGCGCUUCAGAGUUUGUUUUACAAGCUUCAGUGUAACGACAUUGGCGCUGACAAAGUCGUUUGGUUGGGAUACAUAUGAUUCUUUGUUCUCUUUAAUGCUUUGUAUCACUCACUCUCUUAAACACAAGCACAAAAAUAACCUUGCUCUCUCAUCCUCUCAAGUCUUUGGUUAGUUUCUUGUUUUAUCACAAAGAUAUAAACGUUUUAGUUAGAGAGAAGAGAGAAAAUAUUAAUUGUCUACAUUUUGUUUAUUGGAUCACAAGAUAAUUCUUACAA